GUUGUUUGUACGUGAGAUAUAUGAUGGCCAACUGUUCAUAAAGUUAAAGAAGGGUUUGGAUUUACCUGCCAUGGAUCCGUGGGGAACAAGUGAUCCAUAUGUGGUCAUGCAAAUAUUGGAUGGACAGGUUGCCAAAAGCAAGGUCAAAUGGGGGACAAAAGAGCCUACAUGGAAUGAAGACUUCACUUUUAAUAUCAAGCAGCCUCCAACAAAACUUCUCCAGGUU